AGACCAUGAUGGGGGCACUGUCUUAGCAUACUCUUGAAUCUGUUCUAAGCUUUAAAUAAUGAUUCUGAGUCUAUCUGUUUGAAGCUGGAAAUCACGUUCCUCAUGU